UGAGCGGCAGUGCUAGGGCUUGCCGCCGCCGCCCCGCCCCGUCCCAUCGUCCUCCGACGCCAUCGCCACAGAGAGAGAGAGAGGAUGGCCAUCCCAUCGGUAGGUGCCGCCGGCAGCUGCGGCCUGCUCAUCCACCGCUCCGCCUCACGAGCCCUCUCUGCGCCUUGUACUGCAUCUCCCGUCGCGCGCGCCAUGGCAACAACCUACCUGAUGCAUCGCACUGAAAGUCCGACCAGCACUCCAUCUCGAGCAAUGUCUGCAGCACGGCAGCCACCAUAGCGCCACUGGACUAGGAUGUAGUCCCCAUGACUAUCCAACCAGAUCCACUACCCACGCCAGAUGCAUGUUCUCCUCGUCUCGUAUGCGGACCCCAUGGCCGAGCCAGUUGGACCGUAUCGAUUCCAGAUGAUCCGUCAGCAUCAAGAUCCCCAGGCUCUUCUCCUGGGGUUUCCCACCGCUUCCGCGCCCUGAUCCCCCCCGCCCACCGCCCCGAUUCGUGGCACCACCCUGAUCCAUGUAGACAAGUGAUGAGGGUUGGCACGAUUCCAGGAGUCUCGGCACUGCUCGGACCAGAGAUCCACCCGAUCUGGACCCUGGGGUUGAUUUGUUUUGCUGAAGAGCCAGGGUCCGAUGUCAGGGCCAUCGGACGCAUAGGACCUGGAGAAAAUUGCUUCACAUGAAGGCAUCAACAAAUCACGGGCCUUGUAACAUUAGCAGGCCAAUGAAAUAUUUUUCAAGCCAUGGACCACGGUGGUUGUGGCUAGGAAGAAGGAGGUUAAGGCGAUGCAGGAGGAGAGGGAUCUGCGCAAGUUUGCCUCUGUGAGUUCCUCUGGUCUCUAAUUGGGUUUACAUGGUAGUUUCUCGAUGCGAAUAUUAGGUAUCAGUGAAAAUACAAGCGCGUAAAAUUAAGAUUCCCUCUAUGGAUUUCGUGAAAUUAAGAUUUUAAAGCAGUGCACAGUAAUUUGCUUCAGGUUAAAACUGAUGUGUUACUCAAUGGCAGAAGUAUAUUAAAUAAUGUUAACAUCAUAUAGGCUGUCAACAAAUAAGGUUGUUAGGACCACAUGUGCAGCCAUUUGAUUUACACAAACUGAUGCUAGAGAGCUCAAGUAAACUUGAAUAUGUCUUUUAUUUGGUAAUUACUUCCUGCUCCAACGUCUUCAGAGCUCUAUCAACUCAGUCACACCUGUUCUAGAAAUGGGUAAUUAAGAUGGACACAUUCAGAAGUGAACCUGAAGCAACCUACACAUUAUUCUACAUGCUAAAUCUCUACUAUAUUAAAAGGAAGAACUGGUUUUAUUUCCUCCGGUCACCAGUGCCACCACGUCGCCCCGUUUGGUCGCUUCGUCCGCUCAUCUCCAAUCGCCCCGCACCUGCCCAAGUGGGCCAAGCCCAACUAAUCUGACCCCGUCGUUAUUUCUCGGUUUUCUCCGAUCCCGUAAGGAGAGAAGAAAGAGAGGUGGCGCUAGGGUUUGGCAUGGCCGCCCCUUCUCGUCAUGCUCCAGCAACGUUGCUACAGAAUCUGCUCCGUGACCGCCCUCUGCCAUCAGAGCUUCUCCUUCAUUGUCCCUGCUUGGAUCUGCGUUGCGGCCGGAUCGAUUUGGUGGCCGCCUGCGUGUGCAAGUCAUCAACCCAGCUCCGCGGCGAUUUGGAGCUCCAGUGUGGUCGGCAUCGCCUCCAAGCCUGCGGAGGCCCACGCCGUCCUGAUCUGGAGCUGGGACAACCUUGCUACUACAUCUGUCUUGGCGCUGAUCGUCCAAGUCCAGGAGGGAGAGCCUCAUUCAUGUUGCGCAGACUGUCACGUUCCAGUUGAUGGAAUUCCAUCCCCCGCUUUACCCUUCACCAAGGUCAUUUUCCCUGGCUGGUAAUACAAUUCAUGUAAAUUUCUUGCCAAAGAAGUUGGAUAUUCCAUCUUAUUUGCUAGCUAUAACAGUGAGCUUAUUCUACAAAUUAAGUGCGUGGAUCAACAGUCUUAUUCUUUGCUGAUCCAGGAAGCCUAAAGCCAAAUUAAGGCUGCAGUUGCUGAAAUUUGGUUUGGAAAUAAUUGAUACAAGGCAUCCACAAAUUGGUUCAGGAUUAUUGUAGCACCUAUAUCAGCAGCCGGUGACACAUCUCUAUCUUGAACCAUGUCUUUCAUGUUGGCGCUUCAUAUUUUGUACUGUCCUUUCAAGUUUGAGUUGCUUUCUAAGACACAAGAUGAGUAGUAAAUUGCUGCUAAGUAUACGCAUUACUAUUUCCAUGUAAUGAAUGCAUGUCUUAUUUUUGAUUGCAAACUAAUACUGGUUUAGUAGUACAUUGAGCAGAAGUAUCUUAUUUGAGAUAGCCUAAAAUUUGGAGCAAACUGAGAACAUAAUAGCUAUGGCAUUAGUCAACAUAAUAUUUUGAAGCAAGCUAUGGACGAAGAUGAAGAGGUGGGGGCUUCACUGUUCGUACAUCAACAUCAGGCUUAGGAAGUGGGAACCACUAUGACAUGGGAAUCCAAGGUUAGCAGAUUUUGUGUUUCCGGUCCAUAAGUUGGACUCUUCUGAAACUUUUCUAAUUAGUGCAAUAGCUGAUGAGAAUAGUGCGGACAAGGGACUCAGUAAUAACAAAGCCAAGUAAUGUAGUAUUUCAGCUCGGUUUUUAUUUUUUGUAAUUUUCUUAUAUUUGGUAACAAAGUGUAUCCUCUUGAAUAUGGAAGUGUUGUUUUGAC